rnacentral:rRNA from 1 species
CAAUAGCGUAUAUUAAAGUUGUUGCAGUUAAAAAGCUCGUAGUUGGAUUUCGGGACGGGCCAGUUGGUCCGCCGCAAGGUGUGUUACUGACUGGUCUGUUCUUCUUCGCAAAGACUGCGUGUGCUCUUCGUUGAGUGUGCGUAGGAUUUACGACGUUUACUUUGAAAAAAUUAGAGUGUUCAAAGCAGGCUAUCGCUUGAAUACAUGAGCAUGGAAUAAUGGAAUAGGACUUUGGUCCUAUUUUGUUGGUUUCUAGGGCCGAAGUAAUGAUUAAGAGGGACAAUUGGGGGCAUCCGUAUUUCGUUGUCAGAGGUGAAAUUCUUGGAUUUACGAAAGACGAACAACUGCGAAAGCACUUGCCAAGAGUGUUUUCAUUAA